CUGCCCCCUAGCUUUAAGAGGUUAAUUGAAGGACUAAUGAAUCACUACGGUAUGGACUAACAUCUAGUUGAUAAAAGACUAAUGAAUCACUAUGGUAUGGACUAACAUCUAGUUGUUAAAGGACUAAUGAAUCACUAUGAUAUGGAGUAACAUCUAGUUGAGAAAGGACUAAUGAAUCACUAUGGUAUGGACUAACAUCUAAUUGAUAAAGGACUAAUGAAUCACUAUGGUAUGGACUAACAUCUAGUUGUUAAAGGACUAAUGAAUCACUAUGGUAUGGAGUAACAUCUAGUUGUUAAAGGACUAAUGAAUCACUAUGGUAUGGACUAACAUCUAGUUGAUAAAGGACUAAUGAAUCACUAUGGUAUGGAGUAACAUCUAGUUGAUAAAGGACUAAUGAAUCACUAUGGUAUGUAGUAACAUCUAGUUGAUAAAGGACUAAUGAAUCACUAUGGUAUGGAGUAACAUCUAGUUGAUAAAGGACUAAUGAAUCACUAUGGUAUGGAGUAACAUCUAGUUGAUAAAGGACUAAUGAAUCACUAUGGUAUGUAGUAACAUCUAGUUGAUAAAGGACUAAUGAAUCACUAUGGUAUGUAGUAACAUCUAGUUGAUAAAGGACUAAUGAAUCACUAUGGUAUGGAGUAACAUCUAGUUGAUAAAGGACUAAUGAAUCACUAUGGUAUGGACUAACAUCUAAUUGAUAAAGGACUAAUGAAUCACUAUGGUAUGGAGUAACAUCUAGUUGUUAAAGGACUAAUGAAUCACUAUGAUAUGGAGUAACAUCUAGUUGAUAAAGGACUAAUGAAUCACUAUGGUAUGGACUAACAUCUAAUUGAUAAAGGACUAAUGAAUCACUAUGAUAUGGAGUAACAUCUAGUUGUUAAAGGACUAAUGAAUCACUAUGAUAUGGAGUAACAUCUAGUUGAUAAAGGACUAAUGAAUCACUAUGGUAUGGAGUAACAUCUAGUUGUUAAAGGACUAAUGAAUCACUAUGAUAUGGAGUAACAUCUAGUUGAUAAAGGACUAAUGAAUCACUAUGGUAUGGACUAACAUCUAAUUGAUAAAGGACUAAUGAAUCACUAUGGUAUGGACUAACAUCUAGUUGUUAAAGGACUAAUGAAUCACUAUGGUAUGGAGUAACAUCUAGUUGAUAAAGGACUAAUGAAUCACUAUGGUAUGGAGUAACAUCUAGUUGAUAAAGGACUAAUGAAUCACUAUGGUAUGGACUAACAUCUAGUUGAUAAAGGACUAAUGAAUCACUAUGGUAUGGACUAACAUCUAGUUGAUAAAGGACUAAUGAAUCACUAUGGUAUGGAGUAACAUCUAGUUGUUAAAGGACUAAUGAAUCACUAUGAUAUGGAGUAACAUCUAGUUGAUAAAGGACUAAUGAAUCACUAUGGUAUGGACUAACAUCUAAUUGAUAAAGGACUAAUGAAUCACUAUGGUAUGGACUAACAUCUAGUUGUUAAAGGACUAAUGAAUCACUAUGGUAUGGAGUAACAUCUAGUUGAUAAAGGACUAAUGAAUCACUAUGGUAUGGAGUAACAUCUAGUUGAUAAAGGACUAAUGAAUCACUAUGGUAUGGACUAACAUCUAGUUGAUAAAGGACUAAUGAAUCACUAUGGUAUGGACUAACAUCUAGUUGAUAAAGGACUAAUGAAUCACUAUGGUAUGGAGUAACAUCUAAUUGAUAAAGGACUAAUGAAUCACUAUGGUAUAGACUAACAUCUAGUUGAUAAAGGACUAAUGAAUCACUAUGGUAUGGAGUAACAUCUAGUUGUUAAAGGACUAAUGAAUCACUAUGGUAUGGACUAACAUCUAGUUGAUAAAGGACUAAUGAAUCACUAUGGUAUGGAGUAACAUCUAGUUGAUAAAGGACUAAUGAAUCACUAUGGUAUGGACUAACAUCUAGUUGAUAAAGGACUAAUGAAUCACUAUGGUAUGGAGUAACAUCUAGUUGAUAAAGGACUAAUGAAUCACUAUGGUAUGGACUAACAUCUAGUUGAUAAAGGACUAAUGAAUCACUAUGGUAUGGAGUAACAUCUAGUUGUUAAAGGACUAAUGAAUCACUAUGGUAUGGAGUAACAUCUAGUUGAUAAAGGACUAAUGAAUCACUAUGGUAUGGAGUAACAUCUAGUUGUUAAAGGACUAAUGAAUCACUAUGGUAUACAUCUAGUUGAUAAAGGACUAAUGAAUCACUAUGGUAUGGAGUAACAUCUAGUUGAUAAAGGACUAAUGAAUCACUAUGGUAUGGAGUAACAUCUAGUUGAUAAAGGACUAAUGAAUCACUAUGGUAUGGACUAACAUCUAGUUGUUAAAGGACUAAUGAAUCACUAUGGUAUGGAGUAACAUCUAGUUGUUAAAGGACUAAUGAAUCACUAUGGUAUGGAGUAACAUCUAGUUGAUAAAGGACUAAUGAAUCACUAUGGUAUGGACUAACAUCUAGUUGUUAAAGGACUAAUGAAUCACUAUGGUAUGGAGUAACAUCUAGUUGAUAAAGGACUAAUGAAUCACUAUGGUAUGGAGUAACAUCUAGUUGUUAAAGGACAAAUGAAUCACUGUGGUAUGGAGUAACAUCUAGUUGUUAAAGGACUAAUGAAUCACUAUGGUAUGGACUAACAUCUAGUUGAUAAAGGACUAAUGAAUCACUAUGGUAUGGAGUAACAUCUAGUUGUUAAAGGACUAAUGAAUCACUAUGGUAUGGUGAAGCAGUGUGUAAUAGAUUGAUAAUUGACAUGAUGAUAAAUAGGAGAGAGGGAAGAUUUGUGUAUUGUAAAAAGUUUAUUUUGUUGAAUUAUUCUAUUGGAAAAUGUAUUUAGAUGUCUUGUUUUCGACCCAAAUCAAUAAACAUAGUAAACAGCAUCAUCUUAGUUAAUUUAUUCAUUUACUAGACCUACUGUUGACCAAUAAUAACUUGUGUUUGGGAUGACAAAUCACUUAUAUUAUUAGGCCAAAAAAACAUGAAUGAGAGUUAGAAAUAAAGCACAGAACAGAAUGAACAAGGAAUGAAGAG